rnacentral:rRNA from 1 species
AUGUACCCUAUUGAAAGGCGGCUAGGCACUUUCAAGGGCUAUGUUAGGAACAGAGCUAGACCCAAGGGUUCCAUUGCAAAGGCCUACAUUGCUACAGAGGCGUUGACAUUCUGCUCAAAAUACAUUGAAACAGCUGAUCAGCUUAGCAAAGAGGUGGGUGAAGACAAUCCUGGGCUCAAUGUUUUCGAUUAUUCUAUUCGAGUUACAGGGAAGAGUCGACAAGAGGACAAACCUAAAGAUUUGGACAAAAUGGUUUGGUAUGUGUUGAAUAACUGUCCUGAGAUACUACCUUAUAUCAAGUAA